GAAAUGGGGCCAAAUUGGGGACGUUUGGGCUGUUUUGUACAAUUUAUCCCUUCUGAGGUCGUCUGAACGGUGGAAAUGGAGGAUUUGGAGAGUGUAUGAAUGUAGGGAUGUGUGUGCACACGUAUGCACGUAGUAUGGAGCGUUACAUGUGAGAUAUCCAUGAAAAUGCAUGAAAUAGCCCCAAAAAGAGGCGCACAGAAGAGGUGACUGUGAAGGAAGGGCCACAGUGGUGGAUGGUCUGAACUGCUGGGCAGAGAAGCUGAAGGAUUUUCUAUGGCUUCCGGUGCUCAGAGCCUUUGGAAGCACUGAGACGGUUCGGAGGAUGGGAUGGUUUGUUGAGUUUUGGGGGGGCUUCGAGCUUUUAAACCAACGGAGAUCUGCAGCACUGCGUCCAAAUCUGGAGCCCCCAAUAGGAGAAAGACAGCGGAGGGUCCCUUCUAUUCACAGGAGGGCCACAGAGGUGAUCGGAGGGCUGCAGCACCUCCCAUACAGAGACAGGCUGAGGGAGAUGGGGUAUUGAGCCUGGAGAAGGGAACAGAAGGCUGCGGGGUGACCUCAGUGCAGCCUUCCGGGACCUUAAAGGGGAGCCCCCAAACAGGAGGGGAGGCGACUCUUGGAAGGGCAGAUAACAGCAGGAUGAGGGGACGUGGUUUGGAGUUGAAGGAGGGCAGAUGGAGGUUGGAUGUGAGGGGGAACAGCUGCCCGGAGAGGCUGUGGAUGCCCCGUCCGUCCCUGGAGGUGUUGAAGGCCACGUUGGAUGGGGUAUCCAAUGGGAUGGCCUUAAAUGUGGACGUGGUCUUUUGGGGUCCCUUCCAUCCCAACCAUUCUAUGAUCCUGAGAGAUUAAAGCCACAGUGGAUGUCGGUGGCCCUGCCUGUUUUGGGGGGGGUUGGAGCCUUUGGGGUCCCUUCCAACCCAACCAUUUUGUGACCCUGUGAGAUUAAAGCCACAGCGGAGGUGGUGGCCCUGCCUGUUUUGGGGGGGUUGGAUCCUCGUGAUCUUUUGGGGUCCCUUCCAACCCAACCAUUCUGUGACCCUGUGAGAUAAAGCCACAGUGGAUGUUGGUGGCCCUGCCUGUUUUGGGGGGGUUGGAGCCUUUGGGGUCCCUUCUAACCCAACCAUUCUGUGACCCUAUGAGAUUAAAGCCACAGUGGAGGUGGUGGCCCUGCCUGUGGUGGUGGGGGUUGGUUGAAGCCUUGUGAUGUUUUGGGGUCCCUUCCAACCCAACCAUUCUGUGACCCUGUGAGAUAAAGCCACAGUGGAUGUUGGUGGCCCUGCCUGUUUUGGGGGGGGGGGGGGGUUGGAGCCUUUGGGGUCCCUUCCAACCCAACCAUUCUGUAACCCUGUGAGAUUAAAGCCACAGUGGAUGUUGGUGGCCCUGCCUGUUUUGGGGGGAGUUGGAGCCUCGUGAUCUUUUGGGGUCCCUUCCAACCCAACCAUUCUGUGACCCUAUGAGAUUAAAGCCACAGUGGAUGUUGGUGGCCCUGCCUGUUUUGGGGGGGCUUGGAGCCUUUGGGGUCCCUUCCAACCCAACCAUUUUGUGACCCUGUGAGAUUAAAGCCACAGUGGAUGUGGUGGCCCUGCCUGUUUUGGGGGGGAGGUUGGAUCCUCGUGAUCUUCUGGGGUCCCUUCCAACCCAACCAUUCUUUGACCCUGUGAGAUAAAGCCACAGUGGAUGUUGGUGGCCCUGCCUGUUUUGGGGGGGGUUGGAGCCUUUGGGGUCCCUUCUAACCCAACCAUUCUGUGACCCUGAGAGGUAAAGCCACAGUGGAUGUUGGUGGCCCUGCCUGUUUUGGGGGGGCUUGGAGCCUUUGGGGUCCCUUCUAACCCAACCAUUCUGUGACCCUGAGAGGUAAAGCCACAGUGGAUGUUGGUGGCCCUGCCUGUUUUGGGGGGGGUUGGAGCCUUUGGGGUCCCUUCCAACCCAACCAUUCUGUGACCCUGUGAGAUUAAAGCCAGGAAGGGGGCAGGUGAGACUUAAGUUUAAAACGUGAGCCGGAAACUGAAGUUUGCAACAGAGCGGGUUGAAAAAGGAAGCAUUUGUGGAUGGGGCGGGGGGGUGGAAAUGCAUUAAAGGGAACGUCCUGAUGUGUGAUAUGGUUUUUUUCCCCCCCCAGCCAGCAGCUAUGGGCAGGAGCAGGCCCCGCUGAGCAGCUCAGGAGGAUACCAGGAGCAGAGCUAUGGAGGGCAGCAGGAGCGCAGCCGCGGGCGCGGAGGGUACGGCCGGGGCGGCUACGAGCGCGGUGGCCGUGGUAGCCGGGGAGGCCGUGGAGGCAACAUGGGGUAGGUGUGGGCCAGCAAACGGGGCCAAAAAGGGAGAAAAUGGGCAAAAGGAGGAGGGGGGGGGAAGCCCUGUGGGGUGUGGGGGCUUCCGGAGGUGGUGAAAUGGGGGAGAACGCCCCGAAAAUGAGGGAGAGAGACAUCCCCCCCCACCCCCCCCCCGGUUCUCCAAGAGCGGUGGUUGGAGUUGGGGGGAAAUGGUUUAAAAAAGAGAGAGUGGUGGAUGAUGGAAGCGUGGGGAGAAAAGGGGUGGUGGGGGAUGUCAGAGGGUGGGGGCUGAUAGUGCUGUGAGGAGGGGAGAAAUGGGGAAUAAUGCCCUACUGGGGGGAAAGCUCUGGAUAUAGCGGGGCUUUCCUGAGGUGGAAAUGGGGUUAAAUGGGGGAAAAAAAAAAAAGAAUUGUGGUAUGAAGGAAAAUGAUUUGGUGGGGAACCCUCUGGGGAGUGGGGGACUCCAGAGGGGGAAAGUGGGGGGAGAAAUGGGGGAAAAUGCCCCCCCCCCCAAAAAAAAUGAGGGAGAGACACCCCGAUUAGCGGUGCUUUGAAUGGUCCAAAAAUGGGAGAAACGGUGGAAAAAAGAAAUGAUGAUAAUGUUAAAUAUAAGGGAGAGAGGUGGUGAGGAACCCCCUGGGAAUGGGGGCGUAUGGUGGGGGAAAUGCCCCAAAAAUGACGGAGGGAAACCCCUGGGGGUGGGGGCUUCUGUGGCUGAAAAUGGGGGGAAAACGGUCAAAAGAAAAAGAAAAAAGGGGGGGGGAGGGGUACACAAAAAUAACCAAAAGCACAGAGAGGUGGUGGGGAACCCCCCAGGAGUGGGGGCUGUGGUCAAAAAACGGGGGAAAAUGGUAAAAAAUGAAACUGCAGAAUUGAGGGCAGAGGUUGAUGGGAGGGGUCCUCCCGAUAGCAAAUGGGUGAAUUGACCAAAAGGAGCGAAAAUGCACCCAAAAAGGUUCAGUGGGGGCACAUGGAGCUGUGCGAAGUGGUAAGAGCCCCCCAAAAAUGGGGAGAAAAAGGUGUUUUUAGGGACAGACACCAACGUUGGGUGUGAAGGUGAUGCGUGGCACAGCCGCGGUGGUAAAAAACACGAUGGAAAAUAAGGAGGAAUGGAGGAAAAAAGGAGAAGAAUGGGAUAGGAGUUGGGAAGGGGAAGUGGGAGGAAAUGGGAAGGAAGAAAGGAGGUGGGAAAAAAUGAGGAAACGUGAGAAAAAUAUAUUAAAAAAAUGAGGAAAUAGGAGGGAAGAUGAGGUGUGGAAAAGGAGGAGUGGGAAGAUGAGGAAGGGUGAGGGGGAAAAGGAAAAUGGGGGAAGGAAAGGAAACAGGAAAUUGAAUGGGGGCGGGGGAGGAAGUGAGGAAAUA
rnacentral:lncRNA from 1 species